UACGUAGGUGGCAAGCGUUAUCCGGAUUUACUGGGUGUAAAGGGCGUGUAGGCGGGUCUUCAAGUCGGGUGUGAAAUGUACAGGCUUAACUUGUAACGGUCAUCCGAAACUGUUGAUCUUGAGUACUGGAGAGGAUAGUGGAAUUCCUGGUGUAGCGGUAAAAUGCGUAGAUAUCAGGAGGAACACCAGUGGCGAAGGCGGCUAUCUGGCCAGUAACUGACGCUGAGGCGCGAAAGCGUGGGGAGCUAACAGGAUUAGAUACCCUGGUAGU
rnacentral:rRNA from 1 species